GUCAAACUCUUCAGCUCAUCAGCCAUGGACAAAAUUUUGUUGGAGGUUGUGUUGUCUCUGCAGGUUUUCCUGCUCAUCACAGCCCUCACUUCUACUGAUGCAGCGGCUCCAGUGAAAGAUGAUCAACAUCAACCGCCUCUUGAUCGGGCAGACAAAGGAAGCGCACACUACACAAAAAUGAGCACUAAUAGACGAGGCUGUAAGUGGAAACCACGACGAUGUGGAGGUCUCCGCUCUUCAUUACCGCGUGAAGGAAGACCAAGACCACAAACGCAUCCUCUCCUACCUCGACCAGGAAGCCAAUCUGUUAUUAUGUUACCAUGAUCCCAAGAUACAAAGAGAUCACGAUUGUGAACUAUUGUUGAUCAAAGGAAGAAAAGACGAAGUAAGACCAGAGAACUGACGACAGGCAUGAAGACAUGUGCUAAUUACAUAUUCUCUUCAAGCAAGUUACUCAGUUUAUUAUGAAAGAUUUUAAGAGAGAGUUUUCUGGAAAAAAAAUCAUUGCAUGACAAUUGCAUUAUAAACAAAAGGUUAAUUUGUCUCUAUAUAAGCUAUACUAUGCAAAAAACCUAUGUACCAAAUGGCUAUAUUUAGUAUUGCCAAUACAAGAUGACUUACUCUUGUGUUGCGUAAGGUGCCAAUGUCCAAAAUGUAAUAUGACAUACAGUAUAUGUUGCAUCAACAAUCAAUCUUCAACAAUUUUCUUGUUAUUAAUAUCAUAUAAAAAAUUGUAACUCAUACCUUGUAACCAUUUUCUUUCUGUGUGUCUGAGUGCAGUUAUGCUCCCACUGUUUAAAUGCUAAUAUUGUAUUUACAGUACAUGCUUUACAUCUGUUUUUAAGCAUCAAAUAAAAAAGUUUUGCCAAUCAAAAAA